rnacentral:tRNA from 1 species
AGUUUUAUAGUUUAUAAAAACAUUAAUUUUGUAAAUUAAAAAUAAGAUUCUUUAAAACUA